CCGAGUUAGGGUCCGCAUGGGCCCGACCUCCUAACCCUUUGCUUACCUGACCUUAUGUUGCUUCGGCGGGCCCGCCUUUCGGCCGCCGGGGGGCUGACCUCCCCUGGCCCGCGCCCGUCGAUGGCCUUCAAUUUUUAAAAACUCCGAAGUAAAUCAUGUUUUGUCUGAGUACCAGUCUUUAUAAAAAGCAAA
rnacentral:misc_RNA from 1 species